GAUCGUUUGAUGUCGUAGCGGCCAUGAAGCGUGAGGAAAAGGGGAGGAGGCGCUGAUCGACGUCGGGAGAGAGGGCUGCCGGUUAGUGCAGCGGCGGCGCGGCAAGACGCCGGAGAGAGGAGGCUGACCGUGGUGAUCGGCGGCGGUGGAGGUAAGAAUUAGGGUUUCUUUGGCGAUAAGCCACUGGCGUCUGAUACCAUGUAGAG
rnacentral:lncRNA from 1 species